UUCUGUGUUGGUGCAAUGUACUCAGGUUAAUAUGAUGCAAGUAACAUCACAAGCAUCAUAUUCACCUGAGUACAUUGCACCAACACAGAA